UACGUAGGGUGCAAGCGUUAAUCGGAAUUACUGGGCGUAAAGCGUGCGCAGGCGGUUGUGCAAGACAGAUGUGAAAUCCCCAGGCUCAACCUGGGAACUGCAUUUGUGACUGCACGGCUAGAGUGUGUCAGAGGGGGGUAGAAUUCCACGUGUAGCAGUGAAAUGCGUAGAUAUGUGGAGGAAUACCGAUGGCGAAGGCAGCCCCCUGGGAUAACACUGACGCUCAUGCACGAAAGCGUGGGGAGCAAACAGG
rnacentral:rRNA from 1 species